rnacentral:tRNA from 1 species
CGUUCUGUGGCUUAGUUGGUUAAAGUGUCAGGCUAGUGAAUCCGGAGUAGUGGAUUCGAAUCCCACCAGACCGU